CCUACGGGAGGCAGCAGUGAGGAAUAUUGGUCAAUGGACGAGAGUCUGAACCAGCCAAGUAGCGUGAAGGAUGACUGCCCUAUGGGUUGUAAACUUCUUUUAUAUGGGAAUAAAAUGUUCCACGUGUGGGAUUUUGUAUGUACCAUAUGAAUAAGGAUCGGCUCACUCCGUGCCAGCAGCCGCGGUAAUACGGAGGAUCCGAGCGUUAGCCGGAUUUAUUGGGUUUAAAGGGAGCGUAGGUGGAUUGUUAAGUCAGUUGUGAAAGUUUGCGGCUCAACCGUAAAAUUGCAGUUGAAACUGGCAGUCUGGAGUACAGUAGAGGUGGGCGGAAUUCGUGGUGUAGCGGUGAAAUGCGUAGAGAUCACGAAGAACUCCGAUUGCGAAGGCAGCUCACUGGACUGCAACUGACACUGAGGCUCGAAAGUGUGGGUAUCAAACAGGAUUAGAUACCCGGGUAGUC
rnacentral:rRNA from 1 species